GGCAUAUUCCCCUUAACAGAAUUGAGCACACAACUCACAUAAAAAAGAUCCCCAUUUCUCUAAUCAGGGAGGCAUACAAUUAUCUCCAUCGUCACUCACUUGCGAGACUCCACUAACAAAACACAGAAAUGGUCACACAAAAGAGCUCCCGUUUUUCAUUUCUUAGAUAGGCUUCACUCUCUCAAUUCACUGAAGAUACUAACACACACAUACACAGAUUAACGCACGCACACAUACCGAUCGGGAUAGGGAGAAGAAUCUGAUGAGACGAACACUAGAUUUCGGUCGAGCUUCAAGCUUUUCCGGUAGGGUUUAAGGUUUCCAGAAAAAUUAUUAGCCGAAAUUAGCUCCGGUUUUGAAGCCUACUUGUUUAUAUCAAGCUCGGUUCGUGGUUGAGGUUUGAGUCGAGGUCAUCAGAUGCAAAUUCUCCGAUUUUAAUUAGAAUAAUACCUUGAUUUUGAAAGUGUAAUUGGAGGUCCGAUUCUGUCUCUUCUCACUUUUAUUUUAUUUACGUGUUUGAUUUGUGUGAAGCAUGAUAUGACAUGAGUGUUUUUUGGUGAUUUUGAUUCAUUGUUUGAUUUUAUUGUUAUUGGUUAUGGAUUGUUGAAAGUAGCAAUUGUGAAUUAUCACGUUGGAACCUUGAGUAGAAUUUGGGGGCGAGAAUCAAAAAUUGAUAAAAAUGGAUAUUAGGGUAUUUUGAUUCA